CGGACGUGGGUAACCUGCCUCAUACAGGGGGAUAGCAGCUGGAAACGGCUGAUAAAACCGCAUAAGCGCACAGCAUCGCAUGAUGCAGUGUGAAAAACUCCGGUGGUAUGAGAUGGACCCGCGUCUGAUUAGCUGGUUGGUGAGGUAACGGCCCACCAAGGCGACGAUCAGUAGCCGGCCUGAGAGGGUGACCGGCACAUUGGGACUGAGACACGGCCCAA
rnacentral:rRNA from 1 species